rnacentral:rRNA from 1 species
GACAGAGGUCCCGAGCGUUAGGCGGAAUCACUGGGCUUAAAGCGUGUGUAGGCGGAUCGUUAAGUGCCUUGUGAAAUCCCACGGCUUAACCGUGGAACUGCUUGGCAUACUGGCGGUCUUGAGCAACCUAGGGGCAAGCGGAACAAAUGGUGGAGCGGUGAAAUGCGUAGAUAUCAGGAGGAACACCGGUGGCGAAGGCGGUUCUCUGGGCCUGUACUGACGCUGAGGAGCGAAAGCGUGGGGAGCGAACAGG